AUUGAACGCUGGCGGAAUGCUUUCCACAUGCAAGUCGAACGGCAGCACGGACUUCGGUCUGGUGGCGAGUGGCGAACGGGUGAGUAAUGUAUCGGAACGUGCCCAGUCGUGGGGGAUAACGUAGUGAAAAUUACGCUAAUACCGCAUACGAUCUAUGGAUGAAAGCGGGGGAUCGCAAGACCUUGCGCGAUUGGAGCGGCCGAUAUCAGAUUAGGUAGUUGGUGGGGUAAAGGCCCACCAAGCCAACGAUCUGUAGCUGGUCUGAGAGGACGACCAGCCACACUGGAACUGAGACACGGUCCAGACUCCUACGGGAGGCAGCAGUGGGGAAUUUUGGACAAUGGGCGAAAGCCUGAUCCAGCCAUUCCGCGUGCAGGAUGAAGGCCCUCGGGUUGUAAACUGCUUUUGUACAGAACGAAAAGGUUUCUACUAAUACUAGGAGCUCAUGACGGUACUGUAAGAAUGAGCACCGGCUAACUACGUGCCAGCAGCCGCAGUAA
rnacentral:rRNA from 1 species